rnacentral:rRNA from 1 species
GACGUAGGGGGGCGAGCGUUUGUCCGGAUUUAUUGGGCGUAAAGCGCGCGUAGGCGGCCCGGAAAGUCGGAUGUGAAAUCCCGGGGCUCAACCCCGGGUCUGCAUUCGAUACGGGCAGACUAGAGUUCGGUAGGGGAGUCUGGAAUUCCUGGUGUAGCGGUGAAAUGCGCAGAUAUCAGGAGGAACACCGGUGGCGAAGGCGGGACUCUGGGCCGAUACUGACGCUGAGGAGCGAAAGCGUGGGGGAGCAAACAGG